rfam:Triticum urartu cultivar G1812 contig96214, whole genome shotgun sequence.
UUUCUACUCCCUCCAUCCGAAAAUACUUGUCAUCAAAAUGGAUAAAAAGGGAUGUAUCUAAAACUAAAAUACGUCUAGAUACAUUUCCUUUUAUCCACUUUGAUGACAAGUAUUUCCGGAUGGAGGGAGUAUUUG